UUGCCACUUAAUCCACUUACCUGUACCGUUAAAAUGGAAUGUUUACUGAACUUUAAAUAUUAUUAACGAUGUAAAUUCAUUUAUCAGUUUCUAGAACUUGAAGAGAAUUAUUAGAUUUAAAUGCAAGGAUAUUUAUUUAAAAACGUUUCAAUGCAGAUGUGCAAUUUUACAUUCCUUCAUAAUAGACCUAUAGUAAAGAGUGAAAUUUUUGCAUAUCUAAAUGUAUCUUUGGCUGUUCUUACUUGCAUUGUUAUAAUUGUUUAUAUGAUACAUCAAUGGAUAAAAUGGAGAUAUGUUUAUCAUCCAUUUUCUAACUUUAAAUUUGUAAAAUAGAUGAUAAUUUGAAGAGGAA